UUGCGGCACAUUAAAAGGCCAACCCGUUUUUAUAAUGGGAUAAGCUUUCAUGGACUUCUUCUGCAACUGCAUAACUUGAUGCCUGUUUCAUUUCUUAACAAAUACGGGGAUGGGAAGAUGGACGACUUGUAAAGCAGCGAGAAAAACAAAGAUCUGUUGACAACUCCCCAAGUUUUUGGAAUGCAGAC